AGAAAGUUAGUUUAGUUAAAAACAUUAAUUUGUCAAAUUAAAAACAUUUAUAAUACUUUCUU
rnacentral:tRNA from 1 species